GACUUUAAUACAUUUCUUUUUACAUUAUUUUUAUAUUAUCACAAAAUGCACACAAAAUGAAACCUCAACAGGAUGCAUAUUCCAAUUUAGUAUCAUUUAUUUUAACUAAUCCCUCUUAAUUAUAGGUAUGCUCUUGUUAUGAUGAACAUAUGGCACACAAAAAUAAGGAGAUCAACUAUAUACUCAUUGUAUAUAUUUUUGGGUAUUACAUAAACCCUCUACCCAUCUGUUAUGUACAGAUCUAUCUUGACCUCUUGUCCCAAACCCGAAGGGUGACACCCAAGCUCAAGAAGCAAGAGAUCAAUCACACUAAAGAAGAAUAGGAAUCAAGGUAGACCCCAAAGGAAGCUCGAUUAUGCCUUAGUACACUCAAUUCUAUGUUAACACUCACCUAAUAGUUAAAACCUGAUGUACCCUUGUUUUCUAUGCCACACCUGCUAAUAAUGUGAAAAUUGUAGGUGCAUAAAAAUAUAUAUUGGAAGUUCCACUUAGAUAAAA
rnacentral:lncRNA from 7 species